CGAUUGUAGAAGCCAUCUGUCGCCGACCCCCUUGCUCUUAGCAGAAGCCGACGCUACGACUGGAGCACUUCCUUCUGUUAGCUGGAGUGAAGUUAUCAUUGGGUAAGGAGAAGUACUUCUGCCGCCGUCACCAUGCUUAUUUACUUUGUUGGCCCCAGGUUUAAAGUCCUCAGAGGUGCUGCAAUUUCGAGCUUACCUUGCUGAUUUCAGGAAACUGUUGGUAAUCAAAGGUCUUUUUGGUACUUGGUUUGGUUGGUUUUCGAGACAUCCAAUUUCUUUCACAAUUCGGUUAGUCCUCGCUCUUCGAAGUGUACAAGGAUCUGUUCGUCUCUAUUUGCUUUUGACCUGCGACCAGGUCCAUACCUUCCAAAAAACCAAGAACCUUAAGGAAGAGGAAGAAGGUUGACUACACCGAAAAAGAGCUUGGAGAGAUCUUUAGCUCGGAAGGAUUUGUAACAUCGAGAUCCACCUUUUCUACAAGUGACCUAUCUCAUUUAAUAGACAAGUAUAGACUUAUUGGUGAACUUGGACUUAGAAUCCCUCUUAACGACAAGUGAGCAGGCUCCCCACCAGACAGAUAUACUGCUUUGAGUCUCAUGCAUUGCCAAGCAAGUGCCUUCCUUCUACUCCACACGUACUUUGUGGAAAUAUGUGACUAUUUUGGCAUAGCCCCGUUCCAACUGACAACGAACAGUUACAAAUUAUGUGCACUACUACGAAUUUUAUACAGAGUGUUGGAUUGGUCUCCUCAUAAUGUUUAGAGGCUCAUUACUUAUUAAAUAUCAAGUCCAACCGCACAUCAAGUUAUGAAGGAUUCUACCAAUUGUGUAGCUAUUAUGGUGGUGAAGUCCUUGAGAGUCGUGUUUCAAACCCUAGUCGCUACUUUAGUCAAUAAUUUUUUACCAAUGCUAUCAAGUCCGAGCAUAGGACAUUCCAUGAUAUUGGUCGCUAUAGGUGACUAACUCCAACCUCUGGGAUGCAAGAGCGUCUUUCUCAGUUACAGUGAUUGGGUGACAAGUAUAGGAAUGCAUAUUUCCUUAUCAAUGACAACAAUAUGUGAUUGGUCAGUCUACUCGAACCGCACCACUCAUUGGAUCAUCUAUCUCCCCCUCCAGAGUUUGACUACAUUCCCUUUUAUGAGGUAUUGGAGUCAAUGCAUGAGGGGCGACCUGAGGAGGUUACUAAUGUUGUUCGCAAUGGCACAGUCAUUACUAUUCAUGAUGAGCCAGAGAGAGUACAUUUUUAGGUUUUAUCUGCUGCUUCUUCCCCGAGCAGUCUUUGCUCUAUGUUGCCCAACUAUCUAGAAUUUGGCUUAUCGCAAAUAACUCUCCCUUUUGAUUCUUUUAGUGAUGUGGGAGGUUUUAAUCUUUUCCCUGGAAAUGGGGAAUCGCCUCUCCCUUAUUGGAUAGAUGAAUAUUUUCUUGAGGAAAUUUUUACUGCUGAUAGUCCUCCUGGUAUAUUAUCUAUUCUUUAACGCAUCCUGACUGCUAUAUAUUCUUUACUUGCAUUUUAUCUGACCACUUUUCAUUGAGAGGUGACAUGAAUGCUCGAGAUUUGUUCAGUGGCCCUGAAAUUAUAAGUACAAGGGAUGAUAAGAGGAGAAAAUAGUCAGCGAACGAGGAUAAGGGGAAAAUUGUGGAGUCUUCUUUUGCUCGUCUACGCCAGAGUUGGUCUCCUGCUGGGGUUACACCACCAGCUCUUGUGGCGACUACUAGUGAAGUCCCGACGACUAGGUCCUUAUCUUCCACACUUCCUACUCGUGUUUGAACGGUGGUGCCCAGGGUUGAGGAGAUUAUUCAGAGUGACCAAAUACGGGCAGGUAAUUCUCCAGAUUUUGCAUCCCCAACAAGAUCAUUUGCCAUUCCAUGACCAACACUGUUCAAGUAUGUUUCUUCUCUUAUUUUUGUACUAGUUAUCUCUCACUUUUUUUUUUCGUAUUGAUCUCUUUUUAUCCUUUGGAGACAAUGUUCAUUUUUACCCAUCUAUCUUAGUCUAUCGACAUUUGAAGAAGGAUAAGGAUGAUACACGUUGUACCCUCAUGGCUGAGAUACACACUAUUUGUUGUGAGAGGAACAAUUGUAAGACUGAGCUUGAGCAACUCAAAAGCACUUCUUGUACCGAGAUCAAUCAACUAAAGGUUGAGAUUGACUGUCUCCAGAAGUCUCAUACUGUUAAGGUUGAGCAACUUAAAGCUGAUGCUAAAGUUGACCGCCUUCAAAUCCUAGAAGAAGAAUGAAAGAUCUUAAAUAACAUGUUCUUUCAGGUCCUGAAACACGAUUGUAGUAUGGAUUAAUCAUUUCUGAAUGGUGAAGAGAAGUCCCUACUAGAAGCUUGCGAAUAGGGACUUGUUGAUGAGAAAAAGGCUUCUGUUUGCUCCCCUUAAUACAGUCAGGGGAUGGUGAGGUUAGUUCCAGGCCUGAAGAUCUUGUGACUAGCACUUCUUUUGACCCUUUAGCCACCUCGAGCGACCAGACUCUCGAGCCAGAGUCUUGAUAGCUUAGUCUACUUUUGACCUUAUUUUCUAUUGUAUUAUGUACUUGUAUGUGAACAAACAUACCACUUUGCCAUUUGUGAAUGGUGCAAACAACUUGUGUAUUAUUUAUAUUUGUUUUUCUUGUCUCUACA